rnacentral:lncRNA from 1 species
ACAAAUUGCCUGGCUGAAAGCCAUCAAGCAACAAUCAUUUAAUGUUAAGUCCAACACUCGCAUUUGCUCCCAGCAUUUCCCGCGGUGCUCCUUCAAAUUUUUCUCUCGCACCAAGAAAAUCCUAAGAAAUGAUGCGACCCCCAAUCUGCUCAGCGACAAUGCUCAAUCUGCUGUUGAUCAGGGACAAGGAAGAAACACUCAAAGCCCAAUUCAUCCUUUCUCUCCUCGAAUCCACAACCUAUCUCCAGCCUCACCUCACGUUAUUAAAGCUGGAAAACGGUCUCUGUACCUCGGUCCGAAAACAAAGGGAUUUCGAAAGUCUCAAGGAACACCCCCACCCUCUUGUUCUGGACGCUAUGUUUUUGAAGUCAACGGUACUCCAAAUCUAGACUUAGCACAAAACUGUUGUGCAGACAAAACGCUUACAAUGCCUACCCCUUUGCAGAGGCCUGCUGCCAGGAUAGGCCUCUUCAGUGGAUUUCCUAUCUUUUCACCUCAAUCAGAAGAUGGGAAAGGAAGAAACACCUCCAGAAUACAUGUUAAUCGUGAGGCUCUUACUUCUCUCUCGUCACUCGCAUAUGAUGGAGUUCGAGGACCAAAAUUGAAAAGUAGGAAGGAGCUAUUUGCUGAAGGCGUUGUUUCUUCUGCUUCAACAUUACCAGAGCCAAUCAUGCCCGCUACUGCAGGGACAGAGGAGUCUGCAGAAGUACCUUCCACAGUUAAUACCGAUUCUAGUGAUUUUCAUACUCCUAUUCUUCAUUCAAGCUGUACUGAAGACAAACUCUCCGGUGUUCGUCCUCUUCCCUCUUCACCAAAGGUUGCAGCAUCAAAGAUAGCUUUUGCUGAGUCCAGUGAUUUUUGUACUCCUUCUGUUCCAUCUAACUGUGCUGAAGACGAUGUCUCCGGUUGUCAUCCUCUUCCCUCUUCACCGAAGGUUGCUGCAUCAAAGAAAGCUUCGUCGGAGAGUAUCUCACAGCUAAAAUCUCAAUUGGUAAAGAAGAAGAAAACCAUCCAUAGAUUGCGUGCUCGUAUAAGCCGUUUGGAGCGGAAGAAGCAGAAGGCUCCUGUUAUGUCCCAUGAAGAAAUUGUUGCAGCUUCGAAGCCUCUCCUCAACCCAACGAUGAACAGAUUGCUGGAAGCCCAGUUAAGGUUGAAAAAGUGUAAGAGCAAUAAAGGUAUGCGAUGGUCUGAUGAUAUGAAAGAUUUUGCGACAUCUUUAUUGUAUCAUGGGCCUCGAAGUUAUCGGUUUCUUCGUAAACUAAUGCCAUUGCCAAGUAUCAGUACUUUAAACAAAUUCCAGAGGAAAGCCUAUCUCUUGCCCGGUAUUCACGAACCGAUUAAACUUUUCCUGAAAGACAAUGUUAAGAAAUGGUCAACAAAGAAAAAAGUGUGCUUACUAGUCAUUGACGAAAUAAGCAUCAAGGAAAAUUUGUCGUAUGACGAAAGAGAGGAUUUGAUAGUAGGGUUCUCUGAUGAUGGCACCACACGGACAAAAGACUUAGCAAAUCAGGUAAUUGUAGCUGCAUUUAAAGGAAUUGACUCUGCUUGGAAACAAGUUAUUGGGCAUUGGGUUUCUUUUGACAAGGACCGAACAAAAUCAAUCCGAAAAUCUGUGAUUGACUGUAUAAGAGCAGCGAAUGAAAUAGGUCUCAUUCUCAAAUUAUUAAUUUGCGAUCAAGGCUCUAAGAACCGAAAGCUCGCCAGGCUCCUUGGUGUGACCAAAAGAAAGCCAUACUUUAUGAAUGGUUCAGAAAAAGUCUAUUUCAUGUGGGAUCCUCCUCAUCUCUUGAAAUCCAUCAGGAACAACCUCAUGAAUAUGACUUUUGGUGGCGCGAUGGUAUUGCUAGCUGGUCACACUUACGAGUUUUGUUAAAGAGGCAGGAACGACUGCGGCUUCAUCUUAUCCCCAAAAUAACUCGAGGACAUCUGUAUUUUCGAAGCAGCUUUUCAAAAAUGAAGGUAAAAUUGGCCUCCCAAGUUCUCUCACGAUCAGUAUACACUGCCCUCCUAGUUUUUAUAGCUCUCAACCUCAUACCAUCCUCCGCUGUCCAUAUGGCUAAUGUCACAAAAGAUUUCAAUGACCUGUUGAUUGUUUUAAUGGAAUGCAAUAUGAGAGGGAUAGGUUGAGCCUUCGGUAUGCUAUCUCUCAAAAAUCGAAGCACAUUCCUUUUUUGAAGAAGAUCCUGAGAUAUUUAAAUUCUGCUGCUUUUCUCGGAGCUAAGCGUCAGCCUGAAUGUUUGGAGGGAUGGAUUAUCUCAAUCACAGCACUUUUACUGUUGGUGCAGGAAUUAGCAGAACGAUAUGGAAUCACCAGUGUGAGAGCAAGGCUUCUAAGCCAAGAUAUGCUGGAAAAUAUUUUUGGAAUAUUGCGUCAGCAACAAGGCUGCAAUGACAACCCCACUGUUAAACAACUUGAAAAGGGCAUCAGAAAUUUAACCUUGUCAUCCUUAUCCAAAAUUAGCAAUGCGACCAACUGUGAGGAAGAGGUUGAAAAGUCUCUAAUUGUUUUGAGCAAACUUCCGCAAGUAAUAAGAUGCAAGAAAGAAGAAGAAAUCACUGUGACACCAGGUCUGGACAAAAUAGAGCAUGAAAAAGGAAUGGAUGUCAUCGAAGAGAAUGCUCUCUACUAUUGUUGCGGCUUCAUUACUCGAGUGUUUGCAAGGAAACACAAGUGCAACUUUUGUGCAAGCAAACUGUUGUUAGAAGGAGACAAGAGAAUCUGGACUGAAGACUAUCAAAUGUUUCUUUACUUUAAAGCCCACUCCGAAGAACUAGGACAAGAUUUUGGACACCUCCAAGCACCCUCGUAUGAAAGUUUCCAAGUUCUCAAAAAAUGGAAAGAGUUUUUAAUGAAGUGUUUGCUGCCCGUUGCCAUGAAAAGAACAUCAGCAAAAUCAUCCAACUUGCCUUCAAGAACCAGCAGCUAACUCUUCAACUGUGCAGUGGAGAAGCAGAAGAGGAAUUUGCGAGCACUUUAAUCAGGCUCAGAAUUUUAUGGGAAGUUCGAUUUAUGAACCGAAGAAUAGUUACCGCCCGCUUUGAUAAAUUGGAUAAGAAAAAGAAGAUAAGAGCAUCAGCUGCAGAAAGUGCUCAAAUAGAAACAGAUGAGAAGACCGCAGUGACUCCCAUCAACACUGGCACAACGUCGGAAGAAGGAGAUCUCAAAGUUGCUCAAGCUCCCACAGGAGUAAAACGCAAGAGUGAUCGCAAGGAUCAGAAAAAGCUGAAGAAGCUAAGGCAUGAGUAACCUUGGCCCAAGCAUUCACAAUGUGUGAUAUUUUGUUUCUAUUUCAGGAUAUAGGUAUCAUGAAAACUACUACCAUUGUAAAUAUGCGAUGUAUCGUUGUAAAUUGUUAGGAAUUCUAGCAAUACCUUGAAAUUAUUAUUUCUUACAUAUUCUAGUGCAUGAUACACACAAAAAAUUUAAUUUAUUUCCAUAGAAUCGCUUCACAAUGUCUGGUUUUGCUCUGAAUGAAUCCAUAGCCACCAUACAUUUUUAUAAAUCGUUCAGCCUCAGUAUUCCAUCAACUCCUCGCUUUCUGAACAUGAUUUUGGUCUCUCAAUGAAUUUAAAAAAAGUUGGUGACGACCUUUCCUUUUUUUACAUGAUAAAUUAUUCAUUUAAUAUGUCCCAUUUCCUGUGACGUAUGACUGAAUCCUUUAAUCAGUGCAAUUUUUAAUGCAUUCGUGCAAUUUUUAUAUUUCUGCUACAUCAUUUUUUACAUUACGUAACAAACUUUGAGAUUAAAUUUCUUGUAAAAAAAUGUGUCAUGGAUUUAAGUCCAGCAGUCAUGGCACUUGUUGAAAGUCACUCAACUCUUUUGUUGGUCCGAUUAUGAAAAAUUGCAAUCCUCUAUUCACUGUUAAAUUGAGUUUUCCUUUCCUAACAUCAGCUCUUUUAAUCAAUUGAAUUUUACAUGUAAAAGUUCCAUUUUCUUUUGAGAAAUCUUUUGAUCUUGUAAUAUGUCUAGACUUGAUUUAUUACUGAUUUUUCUUCCGUAAUUGUAUGAUGUGAAAACUCGAGGAAUAUUUGCAGUUUGUUGCUUCUCUAGUAUAUUCUUAAGAUUUGUUACCUACAAAAAGUUUUGACACUUAGUCAGUCAAUUGUAUACAUUGUAAGUAUGAACGAUACUAAUUAUUAUUAUUAAUAAUUUGUUAUCUACAAAAAAUUUUGACACUUAGUCAGUCAAUUGUAUAAAUAGUCAGUAUGAACGAUACUAAUUAUUACUAUUAAUACUUUGUUACCUAAAAAAAAUGUUGACACUUAGUCAGUCAAUUGUAUAAAUUGUAAGUAUGAACGAUACUAAUUAUUACUAUUAAUACUUUGUUACCUAAAAAAAUGUUGACACUUAGUCAGUCAAUUGUAUAAAUUGUAAGUAUGAACGAUAGUAAUACAAAUCAUUCAAUUAGUCGAAUUUACA